UCUGAUGUAGCUCAGUGGUAGAGUGCUUGCCUAGCAUGCACGAGGCCCUGGGUGUGAUCCCCAACACCGCAA
rnacentral:tRNA from 1 species